GACGAACCGUGCGAACGUUGUUCGGAAUCACUGGGCUUAAAGGGCGUGUAGGCGGGCCAUCAAGUCAGAGGUGAAAUCCCAUGGCUCAACCAUGGAAGUGCACUCGAAACUGCGAAGCUAGAGUCCUGGAGAGGAAGGUGGAAUGCUUGGUGUAGAGGUGAAAUUCGUAGAUAUCAGGAGGAACACCGGUGGCGAAGGCGGCUUCCUGGACAAUUACUGACGCUGAGACGCGAAAGCGUGGGGAGCAAACAGG
rnacentral:rRNA from 1 species